GUCGUACGCUUCUUUUUCCCCGGAGCUUGCUCCACCGGAAAAAGAAGAGUGGCGAACGGGUGAGUAACACGUGGGUAACCUGCCCAUCAGAAGGGGAUAACACUUGGAAACAGGUGCUAAUACCGUAUAACAAUCGAAACCGCAUGGUUUUGAUUUGAAAGGCGCUUUCGGGUGUCGCUGAUGGAUGGACCCGCGGUGCAUUAGCUAGUUGGUGAGGUAACGGCUCACCAAGGCCACGAUGCAUAGCCGACCUGAGAGGGUGAUCGGCCACAUUGGGACUGAGACACGGCCCAAACUCCUACGGGAGGCAGCAGUAGGGAAUCUUCGGCAAUGGACGAAAGUCUGACCGAGCAACGCCGCGUGAGUGAAGAAGGUUUUCGGAUCGUAAAACUCUGUUGUUAGAGAAGAACAAGGAUGAGAGUAACUGUUCAUCCCUUGACGGUAUCUAACCAGAAAGCCACGGCUAACUACGUGCCAGCAGCCGCGGUAAUACGUAGGUGGCAAGCGUUGUCCGGAUUUAUUGGGCGUAAAGCGAGCGCAGGCGGUUUCUUAAGUCUGAUGUGAAAGCCCCCGGCUCAACCGGGGAGGGUCAUUGGAAACUGGGAGACUUGAGUGCAGAAGAGGAGAGUGGAAUUCCAUGUGUAGCGGUGAAAUGCGUAGAUAUAUGGAGGAACACCAGUGGCGAAGGCGGCUCUCUGGUCUGUAACUGACGCUGAGGCUCGAAAGCGUGGGGAGCAAACAGGAUUAGAUACCCUGGUAGUCCACGCCGUAAACGAUGAGUGCUAAGUGUUGGAGGGUUUCCGCCCUUCAGUGCUGCAGCUAACGCAUUAAGCACUCCGCCUGGGGAGUACGACCGCAAGGUUGAAACUCAAAGGAAUUGACGGGGGCCCGCACAAGCGGUGGAGCAUGUGGUUUAAUUCGAAGCAACGCGAAGAACCUUACCAGGUCUUGACAUCCUUUGACCACUCUAGAGAUAGAGCUUCCCCUUCGGGGGCAAAGUGACAGGUGGUGCAUGGUUGUCGUCAGCUCGUGUCGUGAGAUGUUGGGUUAAGUCCCGCAACGAGCGCAACCCUUAUUGUUAGUUGCCAUCAUUUAGUUGGGCACUCUAGCAAGACUGCCGGUGACAAACCGGAGGAAGGUGGGGAUGACGUCAAAUCAUCAUGCCCCUUAUGACCUGGGCUACACACGUGCUACAAUGGGAAGUACAACGAGUCGCGAAGUCGCGAGGCUAAGCUAAUCUCUUAAAGCUUCUCUCAGUUCGGAUUGUAGGCUGCAACUCGCCUACAUGAAGCCGGAAUCGCUAGUAAUCGCGGAUCAGCACGCCGCGGUGAAUACGUUCCCGGGCCUUGUACACACCACCCGUCACACCACGAGAGUUUGUAACACCCGAAGUCGGUGAGGUAACCUUUGGAGCCAGCC
rnacentral:rRNA from 1 species